GUGCAUGAUCGAUAUCAGAUGCCAUGAUGGUGCAAGAAGUUGUCACAGGUGAGGCGCUGCGUGUGUUAGGGCGCAACCCCUUCGAGGGAAUCACCACGAAAACGCGUCUGCGGCAGCUGCUGCAGACGCACCAAGGCAGAGACAAACUGUUCAAAGUAGCACAGUACUUGCUACGCAUCCGGCUGUGGUGGAAUUCCGUUGACUUCAACGUGAACUACGUGCCAGGUGAGAAUUUUUCCCGAAUGGAAAAGAAUCUGAUGACCAUCGUAAAUAGUCGACGCAUGUUCCGCCUUGGCCGUUUCUUUGGCGAGUUUGUUCGCAUGCGCGUAACGCUCAUCAAGGCAUCGGAGCUGGUAUACAUUCCGGUGAACGGUGGCCAGUGGGUGGCGCUAUUCAUUCAAUGCCAGAUGCUGCUAGAUAUGCUUGCGAGGGGUUUGCUAUUCGUGAAGUCCUUGCUGGAGGACGUCGCCUUUCUCGUUCAGAAGGGCUUCUUCCACAGCAACGUAGCUGGCCGUCUCAUCUACGUGGCAACGCGGUGCGGACUUCCAGUUCUCACAAUUGACUUGUUUCUGAAUACGCUGCGUCUUUACCAAGGCAUUUUAGACGCGUCCGCCACCGAGUCCUCGAAUGAAAUCAUGUUCUCAAAAGACUCCUUCUCGCUUCUGUCCAAGUAUGACCGCGUAGAUAAGCUGCGCCGCAAGUUGGCGUCCACGACCGAUGAGGAGAAGCUGAAGGAGGUAAUCAAAGACCAGCAGCGGACGGCGAACGGCACCAACGAGAACGUCGUAUACGUGGAAUCGUAUGCUCAGCUGUUGUGGACCGACUUCGAGCUGCACUGGAUCUGCGUAACGGAGGCGAAACUGCUGCUGGACAUCUUUGUUGCUCUCUCAGGCCUGAGAGGAUGGAAACUGCAGGGGUCUGUGAGUACCGCGGGUUUGUUGUCUGGGCUGUGCUCCAUCUACCGCGUGUGGACGUACGGCCGCUAGCCCUCGCCUAAGCCUUCGCCCUCCCUCCCGUGCUGUGUGAUGCAUGGCUCUUCCACCUCGUUGUCGUAACGCCAGUUGAAAAAUGAUGGCUGACCUAUACACUUUUGCCGCCUAGUCCACCUAUGCUUCCCUGCGCUCUUCAGUUUUUCGCCUUUUCACUGGGACGAAGAUUCGCGUCCUCCUCCUCGUUUCCCUGUUGCUUGAUUGUGCUUGAGUCUUCUUUGCUUG
rnacentral:misc_RNA from 1 species